rnacentral:tRNA from 1 species
AUUUAGGUAGCUUAAUAAAAAGUUUAACAUUGAAAAUGUUAAGAUAGGAUUUCUUCUAGAUA